GUUGAAGUUAAAAGACAAAGCAAAAGAAAGUAUUUUUAAGAGACAGAAUGGCAAAGUAACAAGUUGUCGAGGACUUCCAGGACUUCCAGGCAGAGAUGGGCGUGAUGGCAGAGAUGCUUCAUUGCGUGGUCCUCGUGGUAAGCAGGGAAAACCAGGUCCAGCUGGGCCACCAGGACCUAAAAGUAAACCCACGUCAACCGGUGGAGUGGUCUACACCAGAUGGGGAAGAAAACAUUGUCCUAACACAGCAAAAACUGUUGAGAUUUAUUCUGGAGCAAUCGG